rnacentral:lncRNA from 1 species
CAGCCACAUCUACAGCUACCACCAGCGGAAUGGCUUUGCCUGCAUCUUGCUGGAGGAUGUCUUCCAGCUGGGACAAUUUAUUUUCAUUGUCACCUUCACAACCUUCCUCCUUCGAUGCGUGGAUUACAAUGUUCUCUUUGCCAACCAACCAAGUAACCAUACCAGACCUGGGCCGUUCCACAGCAAAGUGACCCUGUCAGAUGCCAUCCUACCCUCAGCCCAGUGUGCUGAGAGGAUCCGCUCCAGCCCGCUGCUGGUCCUCCUCCUGGUCCUGGCUGCCGGCUUCUGGCUGGUCCAACUGCUUCGCUCAGUCUGCAACCUCUUCAGCUACUGGGACAUCCAGGUGUUUUACAGGGAGGCCCUGCACAUCCCCCCGGUGAGCUGGGUGGCUGUGUCUGUGCAGAGGGUGCCGUGAGAGGGUGGGCAGAGGAGAGGGGAAGAAGUGGGACUGUACAGGUGGAAGGGCCAACUGGAAAGAGGGCAGAAAGAGCGAGGUCUUAUUGACACCUGCCCUAGGCCCAGAAUAAUGUCAGGAGGGGGCUACCACCACCUAGAGAGCAUGGCCCUUACCCUAAGGGAGUUUAGUUUAUUUAGAUGGCUCAUAUAAGAUGACAUAUAGUUACAUGUUUGUGCUAAAAACAUUGAU